GGAUGGGUCAUGGCUUAGUGGUAGAGCAUCCACUUGGCACACAGAAGGCCCCAGCUUCAAGCCCCGGCACCUCCCGUUCA
rnacentral:tRNA from 1 species